AGAGUUUGAUCCUGGCUCAGGAUGAACGCUAGCUACAGGCUUAACACAUGCAAGUCGAGGGGAAACGAUAUUGGAAGCUUGCUUCCGAUAGGCGUCGACCGGCGCACGGGUGAGUAACGCGUAUCCAACCUGCCCACCACUUGGGGAUAACCUUGCGAAAGUAAGACUAAUACCCAAUGACGUCUCUAGAAGACAUCUGAAAGAGAUUAAAGAUUUAUCGGUGAUGGAUGGGGAUGCGUCUGAUUAGCUUGGUUGGCGGGGUAACGGCCCACCAAGGCUACGAUCAGUAGGGGUUCUGAGAGGAAGGUCCCCCANAUUGGAACUGAGACACGGUCCAAACGUCCUACGGGAGCA
rnacentral:rRNA from 1 species